UAUAUAAUCUUCGAAAGUGAAUUUCCUCCUUGUUUCUUUUGAAAGAUAUUUUUAAACAUGGAGAGAACAAGUGAUGUAUAACAACUCUAUCAGAAGUUCAUUAUGUGGAAAAUAAGAAAAAAGUGUAAAGAAAAAAACACAAACCUGUAAUCCCAAACCCUAAAGCACGAAGGAGUGCCUGGAGCUGCCUGCAGGCUGUGUGGAAGAUGAAGCUGGCAUCCUGGAGGACAGAGCAGAGACACAGA